CUUUGUGGCUCUGCUGGUCUAAAUGCACCUGAUUUUAUCUGAGCUUAGAAGCUAAGUAGUCCUGUACCUGUCUAGCACUUGGAUAGAAGACCCUCAUGGAACCCCAGCUUUCAUAGAUA
rnacentral:rRNA from 1 species